rfam:Pantoea ananatis LMG 20103, complete genome.
CCGGUUAACGUACACUCAAGCCUGAAUGCCUACGUCGGUGGAUAGGGGAUUCAGGCCGUAGCCUACGCGCUGCCAGGGUGCAGGAAGAAAUGACUGCAUCUCCCGAAUUGGAAAGGUGUUCUGGUGUCACAAUU